GCCACGAGCCGCGGUAAUACGUAGGUGGCGAGCGUUGUCCGGAUUUACUGGGCGUAAAGGGAGCGUAGGCGGAUGUUUAAGUGAGAUGUGAAAUACCCGGGCUUAACUUGGGUGCUGCAUUUCAAACUGGAUAUCUAGAGUGCAGGAGAGGAGAAUGGAAUUCCUAGUGUAGCGGUGAAAUGCGUAGAGAUUAGGAAGAACACCAGUGGCGAAGGCGAUUCUCUGGACUGUAACUGACGCUGAGGCACGAAAGCGUGGGUAGCAAACAGGAUUAGAUACCCUGGUAGUCCACGCCGUAAACGAUGAGUACUAGGUGUAGGAGGUAUCGACCCCUUCUGUGCCGCAGUAAACACAUUAAGUACUCCGCCUGGGAAGUACGAUCGCAAGAUUAAAACUCAAAGGAAUUGACGGGGGCCCGCACAAGCAGCGGAGCAUGUGGUUUAAUUCGAAGCAACGCGAAGAACCUUACCUGGACUUGACAUCCCCUGAAUAACCUAGAGAUAGGCGAAGCCCUUCGGGGCAGGGAGACAGGUGGUGCAUGGUUGUCGUCAGCUCGUGUCGUGAGAUGUUAGGUUAAGUCCUGCAACGAGCGCAACCCUUAUUGUUAGUUGCUAACAUUCAGUUGAGCACUCUAACGAGACUGCCGCGGUUAACGCGGAGGAAGGUGGGGAUGACGUCAAAUCAUCAUGCCCCUUAUGUCCAGGGCAACACACGUGCUACAAUGGGCAGAACAAAGAGAAGCAAUACCGCGAGGUGGAGCCAAACUCAAAAACUGCUCUCAGUUCGGAUUGCAGGCUGAAACUCGCCUGCAUGAAGCUGGAGUUGCUAGUAAUCGCGAUCAGCAUGUCGCGGUGAAUACGUUCCCGGGCCUUGUACACACG
rnacentral:rRNA from 1 species